rnacentral:ncRNA from 4 species
UCCGUAGGUGAACCUGCGGAAGGAUCAUA